UACGAAGGGUGCAAACGUUGCUCGGAAUUAUUGGGCGUAAAGCGCACGUAGGCGGCUUUGCAAGUCCCAUGUGAAAUCCCACGGCUCAACCGUGGAAGUGCAUGGGAAACUGCAGAGCUUGAGUACUUAAGGGGAUCGCGGAAUUCCCGGUGUAGAGGUGAAAUUCGUAGAUAUCGGGAGGAACACCAGUGGCGAAGGCGGCGAUCUGGGAAGAUACUGACGCUGAGGUGCGAAAGCGUGGGGAGCAAACAGG
rnacentral:rRNA from 1 species